CUGAUCAUGCCAUAAAACAAUUCAUCUUUGCACCCUUGGCCGAAGAGAAUCCAUAGCCAUAAUCAUACCAAAAACUGUCCAUCAAUGCACUACGGGCCAAUGAGGACUUUUUCCACAUCAUUUAUAACAUUACGGUCAUGAUUAUACCGAAUAAUCCCUAGUCAUAAUCAUACCAAGUCCAUCUAUGCACUACAUGCCACAGAUG
rnacentral:lncRNA from 1 species